rnacentral:rRNA from 1 species
UCGGCUUAGAGUUUGAUCAUGGCUCAGGACGAACGCUGGCGGCGUGCCUAAUACAUGCAAGUCGAACGCUCGAGUGCUUGCACUCAAGGAGUGGCGGACGGGUGAGUAACACGUGGGUAACCUGCCCAUCAGAGGGGGAUAACACUUGGAAACAGGUGCUAAUACCGCAUAACAGUCAAACCGCAUGGUGUUGAAUGAAAGACGUUCGUGUCGCUGAUGGAUGGACCCGCGGUGCAUUAGCUAGUUGGUGAGGUAACGGCUCACCAAGGCCAUGAUGCAUAGCCGACCUGAGAGGGUGAUCGGCCACACUGGGACUGAGACACGGCCCAGACUCCUACGGGAGGCAGCAGUAGGGAAUCUUCGGCAAUGGACGAAAGUCUGACCGAGCAACGCCGCGUGAGUGAAGAAGGUUUUCGGAUCGUAAAGCUCUGUUGUUAGAGAAGAACGAGUGGGAGGUAAUUCCUGCUGUGACGGUAUCUAACCAGAAAGCCACGGCUAACUACGUGCCAGCAGCCGCGGUAAUACGUAGUGGCAAGCGUUGUCCGGAUUUAUUGGGCGUAAAGCGAGCGCAGCGGCUUCUUAAGUCUGAUGUGAAAGCCCCCGGCUUAACCGGGGAGGGUCAUUGGAAACUGGGAGACUUGAG